UCUUGCAAUUGGCUUUGUCCAACUUCAGAAAAGUCAACAUCCUUAUCCCCAUAUUUUAUUUUUUCUAUUCAUUCUGCACACCGAUUCUUCUUUGCUAUUUCUUAUUCUUUAUCUUCUUCUACCUCAAUCCAUUUUGAAUAUUUGUUGUAUUAGAAAUAACUUUGUUAUUUAUUUAUAAUUAUGAUGGCAUCGAUUUCACUAUCAUCGACUUUGGGUGUAAACCCUCACAAAUUCAACUUGAUGAAAUGUAAAUUAUGAAAGAUCUUGGGAUAUAAUUAGCAAAUUAGAUCGAGCGAUUAUCAUUUUUAUGAUUACGAAGGAGUCUAUUAUUGUUGAGGUUGUUCACGAUUCUGAGGGUUUCAUUAGCCACAAAGGAUUCAAGCUUGACUUCUAGUGGAGUAUUAUUCGGAGGCUUCACGAAAAGAUAUUCUAGCUUUGGCGUUCAGAUCUGAUUAGUAGCAACUGACAUUGAUGUGAUUCUUACCUUCCAGUACCGAUUCAGAGCAGGGUGAGCUUACUGUCGUUCGAGGUUAAUCCUCCUCUAUCUACUCUAGUUUAGUCUUUUGUACUCGAGACUGCUUGUGUAUAUUGGGUAUAUUUUGGAUUCUGUCUAGUAUUCUGGGUAUAUUUUAGUAGUGGCUCUAGUACCGACCUUACCAGGUCAUGGGAGAGAUUCUUUUAUGUAUUUGGUCCUUUUCCUUUCCUCGGUUUAGUAAAUGUGAUAUUUUUAUUUUC